AUACGUAGGGGGCGAGCGUUGUCCGGAAUGAUUGGGCGUAAAGGGCGCGUAGGCGGCCCGGUAAGUCUGGAGUGAAAGUCCUGUUUUUAAGAUGGGAAUUGCUUUGGAUACUGUCGGGCUUGAGUGCAGGAGAGGUAAGUGGAAUUCCCAGUGUAGCGGUGAAAUGCGUAGAGAUUGGGAGGAACACCAGUGGCGAAGGUGACUUACUGGACUGUAACGGACGCUGAGGCGCGAAAGUGUGGGGAGCAAACAGGAUUAGAUACCCUGGUAGUCCACACUGUAAACGAUGAAUGCUAGGUGUAGGGGGUAUCGACCCCUUCUGUGCCGCAGUCAACACAAUAAGCAUUCCGCCUGGGGAGUACGGCCGCAAGGUUGAAACUCAAAGGAAUUGACGGGG
rnacentral:rRNA from 1 species